UAACAAAAGUUGAUUUGGAUUUGGACACGCCCUAAACACAGCUACACCAUGCGCUUCACGCGGUGCACUUAGAUCGUUAAAAUAGGGCCUCUGGUCUUAUA